CCUACGGGUGGCAGCAGUGGGGAAUAUUGCACAAUGGGCGAAACCCUGAUGCAGCCACGCCGCGUGAGUGAAGAAGGAUCUCGGUAUGUAAAGCUCUUUCAGUAGGGGAGUAAAUGACGGUACCUGUCUAAGUAGCCAUGGCUAUUACCGUGCCAGCAGCCGCGGUAAUACGGAGGGGGCAAGCGUUAUCCGGAUUUACUGGGGGUAAAGGGAGCGUAGGCGGUCGCACAAGUCAGGAGUGAAAUCCCUGGGCUUAACCCCGGAACUGCCUUUGAAACUGUGCGGCUGGAGUGUAGGAGAGGUAGGCGGAAUGCCUGGUGUAGCGGUGAAAUGCGUAGAUAUUAGGAGGAACACCGGUGGCGAAGGCGGCUUACUGGGCUAUGACUGACGUUGAGGCGCGAAAGCGUGGGGAGCAAACAGGAUUAGAUACCCCAGUAGUC
rnacentral:rRNA from 1 species